AUGCAAGUCGAACGGUAACAGGCCUUCGGGCGCUGACGAGUGGCGGACGGGUGAGUAACGCGUAGGAAUCUGCCUCAUAGUGGGGGACAACGUGGGGAAACUCACGCUAAUACCGCAUACGCCCUACGGGGGAAAGGAGGGGAUCUUCGGACCUUUCGCUAUGAGAUGAGCCUGCGUUAGAUUAGCUAGUUGGUAGGGUAAAGGCCUACCAAGGCGACGAUCUAUAGCUGGUCUGAGAGGACGAUCAGCCACACUGGGACUGAGACACGGCCCAGACUCCUACGGGAGGCAGCAGUGGGGAAUAUUGGACAAUGGGCGAAAGCCUGAUCCAGCAAUACCGCGUGUGUGAAGAAGGCCUUAGGGUUGUAAAGCACUUUCAAUUGAGAGGAAAACCUGCCGGCCAAUACCCGGUAGCUUGACAUUACCUUUAGAAGAAGCACCGGCUAACUCCGUGCCAGCAGCCGCGGUAAUACGGAGGGUGCGAGCGUUAAUCGGAAUUACUGGGCGUAAAGCGUGCGUAGGCGGUUCGUUAAGUCAGAUGUGAAAGCCCUGGGCUCAACCUGGGAACUGCAUUUGAAACUGGCGGACUAGAGUUUAGUAGAGGGGAGUGGAAUUUCAGGUGUAGCGGUGAAAUGCGUAGAUAUCUGAAGGAACACCAGUGGCGAAGGCGACUCCCUGGACUAGAACUGACGCUGAGGUACGAAAGCGCGGGUAGCAAACAGGAUUAGAUACCCUGGUAGUCCACGCCGUAAACGAUGUCGACUAGCCGUUGGCCCUAUUUACAGGGUUAGUGGCGCAGCUAACGCAUUAAGUCGACCGCCUGGGGAGUACGGCCGCAAGGUUAAAACUCAAAUGAAUUGACGGGGGCCCGCACAAGCGGUGGAGCAUGUGGUUUAAUUCGAUGC
rnacentral:rRNA from 1 species